GAUGAACGCUAGCUACAGGCUUAACACAUGCAAGUCGAGGGACCGGCGCACGGGUGAAUAACACGUAUACAACCUUCCCUUUACUCGGGGAUAGCCUUUCGAAAUAAAGAUUAAUACCCGAUAUAAAGGAUGGGGAUGCGUUCGAUUAGGUUGUUGGUGAGGUACCGGCUCACCAAGCCUUCGCUGGAUAGGGGUUCUGAGAGGAAGGUCCCCCAGAUUGGAACUGCGACACGGUCCAAAAUGUGACGGGAGGGAGCAGUGAGGAAUAGAGGUGAAGGGGCGCUAACCUGAACCAGCCAAGUAGCGUGAAGGAGGCAGGUUUAGGGGUCGUAAACUUCUGUUAUAGAAGAAUAUGUAUUAUAUGAAUAAGGAUCGGCUAACUCCGUGCCAGCAGCCGCGGUAAUAC
rnacentral:rRNA from 1 species